rnacentral:rRNA from 1 species
CCUACGGGAGGCAGCAGUGGGGGAUAUUGCACAAUGGGGGGAACCCUGAAGCAGCGACGCCGCGUGGGUGAAGAAGCGCCUCGGCGCGUAAAGCUCUGUCAGCAGGGAAGAAAAUGACGGUACCUGAAGAAGAAGCCCCGGCUAACUACGUGCCAGCAGCCGCGGUAAUACGUAGGGGGCAAGCGUUAUCCGGAUUUACUGGGUGUAAAGGGGGCGCAGACGGCGAGGCUAGCCAGGAGUGAAAGGCCGGGGCCCAACCCCGGGACUGCGCUGGGAACUGCGUGGCUGGAGUGCGGGAAGGGCAGGCGGAAUUCCUGGUGUAGCGGUGAAAUGCUUAGAUAUCAGGAGGAACACCGGUGGCGAAGGCGGCCUGCUGGACUGCAACUGACGUUGAGGCCCGAAAGCGUGGGGAGCAAACAGGAUUAGAUACCCUGGUAGUC